UACGAAGGGGGCUAGCGUUGUUCGGAAUUACUGGGCGUAAAGCGCACGUAGGCGGCUUUGUAAGUUAGAGGUGAAAGCCCAGAGCUCAACUCUGGAACUGCCUUUAAGACUGCAUCGCUUGAAUCAUGGAGAGGUUAGUGGAAUUCCGAGUGUAGAGGUGAAAUUCGUAGAUAUUCGGAAGAACACCAGUGGCGAAGGCGACUAACUGGACAUGUACUGACGCUGAGGUGCGAAAGCGUGGGGAGCAAACAGG
rnacentral:rRNA from 1 species